CCCUUAGACACUCUAGGCGGCACGCGCGCUACAAUGGGUGGAAGAACGUGUUACUGCCUCCGAAAGGAGGGGUGAAUCACGAAUUCUUGCCCGUGAAUGGGAUAGUUUGUUGCAAUUUUCGGACUUGAACUAGGAAUCCCUUGUAAACAUGCUCAAGAAUAGCGUGUUGAAUACGUCCCUGCCGUUUGUACACACCGCCCGUCGUUUCUUCCGACUGAUACUCAUUGUGAGUUGCAAGGACCCUUUAUUGGGAAAUUGCUGCAAAUGCUUUGUAUUGGAGGAAGAAAAAGUCGUAAC
rnacentral:rRNA from 1 species